rnacentral:rRNA from 1 species
UACGAAGGGGACUAGCGUUGUUCGGAAUCACUGGGCGUAAAGCGCACGUAGGCGGAUUUGUAAGUCAGGGGUGAAAUCCCGGGGCUCAACCUCGGAACUGCCUUUGAUACUGCGAAUCUCGAGUCCGAUAGAGGUGGGUGGAAUUCCUAGUGUAGAGGUGAAAUUCGUAGAUAUUAGGAAGAACACCGAUGGCGAAGGCAGCUCUCUGGACCGUUACUGACGCUGAGGCGCGAAAGCGUGGGGAGCAAACAGG